CGCCAUUCUCCUGCCUCAGCCUCCCGAGUACGCGGGACCACAGGCGCCUGCCAUCAUGCCCGGCUAAUUUUUUUUUGUUUGUUUUUGUUUUUUUGUAUUGUUAGUAGAGACGGGGUUUCACCAUGUUAGCCAGGAUGGUCUUGAUGUCCUGACCUCGUGACCCGCCCGCCUCGGCCUCCCAAAGUGCGAAUGAAAGCUUUAAGAGGGCUGCUUGUUUCUGGCAGCUCUCAGGUUCUUCCUGUCUGCCUCAGAAGUGGCAUAUUCCACAUACGGGCUGCAUCUUCAGUCUGGACUCAUCCUCUUCAAGAUGAGACAGGUGGAGCAGAGCUGCCACCAACCUCCGGUGAUUUCCACACAAUGUGUCCUAGAAGAAGAGACCCUACACUGGGCUUGUGACCAGCGGAAACUGAAUCAAUGCUGGAGACACAUUCUAACAGUCGAAUGGGCAGCUCACAGGAGGAGGAUCUCACAGUGAUGAAGAGUGGCAAAAGAUGAAAAAACACAAGCUGAGAG
rnacentral:lncRNA from 1 species